UGAAGUCGGAAUUGCUAGUAAUCGCAGAUCAGCAUGCUGUGGUGAAUACGUUCCCGGGCCUUGUACACACCGCCCGUCACACCAUGGGAGUCGGUAACACCCAAAGUUGGUAGUCUAACCGCAAGGAGGACGCCGCCUAAGGUGGGAUUGAUGACUGGGGUGAAGUCGUAACAAGGUAGC
rnacentral:rRNA from 1 species